UUAAUCCACACAGAAACAAAC
ensembl:piRNA 21ur-13101 ncRNA